rnacentral:rRNA from 1 species
CUACGGGGCGCUGCAGUGGGGAAUAUUGCACAAUGGGCGCAAGCCUGAUGCAGCCAUGCCGCGUGUAUGAAGAAGGCCUUCGGGUUGUAAAGUACUUUCAGCGGGGAGGAAGGGAGUAAAGUUAAUACCUUUGCUCAUUGACGUUACCCGCAGAAGAAGCACCGGCUAACUCCGUGCCAGCAGCCGCGGUAAUACGGAGGGUGCAAUCGUUAAUCGGAAUUACUGGGCGUAAAGCGCACGCAGGCGGUUUGUUAAGUCAGAUGUGAAAUCCCCGGGCUCAACCUGGGAACUGCAUCUGAUACUGGCGAGCUUGAGUCUCGUAGAGGGGGGUAGAAUUCCAGGUGUAGCGGUGAAAUGCGUAGAGAUCUGGAGGAAUACCGGUGGCGAGGGCGGCCCCCUGGACGAAGACUGACGCUCAGGUGCGAAAGCGUGGGGAGCAAACAGGAUUAGAUACCCCUGUAGUC